AGUGAACGCUGGCGGUAGGCCUAACACAUGCAAGUCGAACGGCAGCACAGUAAGAGCUUGCUCUUACGGGUGGCGAGUGGCGGACGGGUGAGGAAUACAUCGGACUCUACUUUUUCGUGGGGGAUAACGUAGGGAAACUUACGCUAAUACCGCAUACGACCUACGGGUGAAAGCAGGGGAUCUUCGGACCUUGCGCGAUUGAAUGAGCCGAUGUCGGAUUAGCUAGUUGGCGGGGUAAAGGCCCACCAAGGCGACGAUCCGUAGCCGGUCUGAGAGGAUGGUCGGCGACACGGGAACUGAGACAGGGUCCAGGCUCCUACGGGAGGCAGCAGUGGGGAAUGUUGGGCAGUGGGCGCAAGCAUGAUCCAGCCAGACCGCGUGGGUGAAGGAGGCCUUCGGGUUGUAAAGCCCUUUUGUUGGGAAAGAAAAGCAGCAGGUUAAUACCACGCUGUUCUGACGGUACCCAAAGAAUAAGCACCGGCUAACUUCGUG
rnacentral:rRNA from 1 species